rnacentral:sRNA from 1 species
UGACUUAACGUGGAUAGGAGGUGCGUUU